CUGCUCCUUGGGCCCAUCGCCCUGGCUGUCUGAAAGAUUUCUCUGCGGUGUUAGAUGCUGUCAGUCCUGUGGCCUCUCUUCACCCCAGCUCCUGCCAGUCUAUUGCCACUGGUACCUUUUUCUCCCGUCCCUGCAGGGCACACCUGAGCCCACCACAGCACCCUUGGGCUCCCAGCUCUGGGGCCAGCACGGGCGGGGCUGCACUUACGACUUGUAGCAGUGAGCAGCGGACACCACCCACUGGUCGCUGAUGAGGGAGCCCCCGCAGAAGUGGUAGCCGGCGUUCAGGGACACCUGUCUGCUCCCAUGGCUGUCUGUGCUCCGAUGACAGGAUGAGUUGUCCUAAUUGGAGCAAUCCUGGCCACGUAGCCCGGCUGCGUCCAGCUGCACCCAGCUCUCCCAUAGGUCAGGUCUGCACUAGGAGUUCCGGGAUAUCUGCUCCAGCCCCAUGAGACGGGACACAGUUAGGUCUCCAGAGCCCCGGUCCCUAUCUUCCUGUCUAGGUCAAACUGCUCACUGCCAAGGACACCAGACACAAGCCUGUCAUUUUUUGAGGCACAACCAGCCAGAGGGGUGUGGAGAUGAAGGGAGCAUCUGAGUGGGCCUGACUUUGAGAGCGGCUGGGGAGCCUGCUUAGGAAGAGGCCUCUCCUUGGCCCCUCUGGCUCAGGGUGGGUAAGGAGUGGGCUGCGUUUGCAUCUGAUUUCUCUGAAAGGUAGACACGAGGGAAUGUUCUGUGUGUGCACCUGGUUCAGGGUCUAGUGUGGGAGUAAGACAGGAGCAGGUUGGAGGGCUGGGGUCCAGGGUUGCUGGUGUGAAUUGGGGGAUGUGUCUGCUCCAGCGCCUGGGUGGCUGCCCCGUGGCUCGGAGACGCCCUCCUACUCAGCCCCCAGUUCUAAUGGGCCCCUGACUGUGUGGGACUGUGACUGUCUGUGCCUCACUCAGGCUGCUCAACAGCUCCACACACACACUCCACUGGCCCGCUGGCUCCUAGGCAUUGAAUUUCAAGUGUGAGUCUUCAUAAAUGUUUUCACUGUGAAUUGUACAGAAUGAAAUUAUUUUCAUUGACAAGGAGGAACCCAUCCUUACAUAGGAGGCACCUUGUCUGGGAAUGCGGAGCUGGGAUGGGAAUGUGGAGCUGGGCUCAAGGCUGGGAAGAUCUGGUUGUGCUGCCAGGCUGGGAUUUGCAACAGGAGGCCAGUGAAGGCUUCCUGAGGUCAAGUCAAGUUUCCUUGAGGACAAACAUACAUUCUGAUCCCUGGGAACCUUGUCUUUCUGGCAGAAAUAGAAACUGAAUUAAUCUUUCACCUGGCUCCUGGUCUUGACAUUUACCUUGCCGUGACCCCUGGCACUUCUGAGCCACAGCUGAGACAUGGAAGUUCACCCUCUCUGAGCUGGGAGGGGCUGACUCAUCCUGUGGAGCCUCAAUAUGUGGGAUCCCCAGGCAUUGUUAUUCUCAGGGCUAUUGUUUGGUACCCAGAGAUCUUGGGCCUGCUAGGCAGACAGCCAGGCAGGAGGCCUCUCACCAAGGACAAAAGUCCUGGCGUUAGGAAUAUACUGGGAAGUCAGUAUCUGCUGAAAAGAGCAGGCAGAUGUGGCCAGAUUAGCAAGGUCCGGUAAAAUACUUUACUUGAAAUUAUUAGCAGAAAGUUAGGUCAGAGUAGAAAAUAUGCUUUGGCUACUGGGAACAAUGGAGCCCCUCAGGCAUAGCCCGUGGUCACGUCACCCUAUCCGUCUGCCAAGGAUGUGCAUUUCCUACCUACUUGCCCUACCUUUGAUCUUGACUCUAGUAAGUUCGAGACUGCCCCUGGAUGGCUGCCUGGUGAGGUAUAGUCCCUCUGUGCUUCUGAGUGCUCCACAUGGGCAGUGGGAAUCUCUCUCCUGCGGCGCCUCCAAUGCUGCUGCUCCUGGGGGUGACAUCAACAAGAGGGGCUGUUCCUAUGUCACCCAACAAGCUGUCUUGCCUGUCCGCUCGUUGUGGGGUCUCCAUGGUAAGUCUUGGUUAGAUACUCAGGACAGACCCUGCGAUGGGUCCUGAGGACACAGGUGUACCCCUGAUAGGUGUGCUGUGGCGGAAAAUAGAAAACUGGAAAAAGGGACAGAAACUUUUGGAUUGGUGCCGCUUGCAUUUCAAUUCGUUCCCAGGAGACUCCCGGGCUGCUGGUCCAGGGACACGCUUGAGAACCACUGCUUUGGAAAGUCUGUGUCCUCAGUACACACCCCUCUCAGCUUAUAGGCUGUUCCUGCAUCUCUGGUGCCUGUUUCAUCGGGUCAUCCCUGGAGGUGCCAGGAGGACUGACAAGGCUGCUCCCUAAGGAGCUGGCAGCCAGGUGCCGAUGCCCAGGCAGGAGCAGGGCUGUGCUGGGCCUGCAGAUGGGGCAGGAGGGCAACCUCACU